AUACGGAGGAUCCGAGCGUUAUCCGGAUUUAUUGGGUUUAAAGGGUGCGCAGGCGGCCAUUUAAGUCAGCGGUUAAAUCGUGGGGCUCAACCCCAUUCUGCCGUUGAUACUGGGUGGCUUGAUUGCGGUCGAGGUUGGCGGAAUUCGUUGUGUAGCGGUGAAAUGCAUAGAUAUGACGAAGAACACCGAUUGCGUAGGCAGCUGACCAGACCGCAAAUGACGCGCAUGCACGAAAGUGCGGGGAUCGAACAGGAUUAGAUACCCUGGUAGUCCGCACAGUAAACGAUGAAUACUUGUUUUCGGCGAUAUAAUGUCGGAGGCAAAGCGAAAGCGAUAAGUAUUCCACCUGGGGAGUACGCCGGCAACGGUGAAACUCAAAGGAAUUGACGGGG
rnacentral:rRNA from 1 species